rnacentral:lncRNA from 1 species
UAUGGACAAGAUGAGCACAUUUUUAGUAAUAUUACUUGUAUUCUGCACAAUGAGAUGCGAAGGCCGGCCGCAGGACCUGUCAGUAAAUGGGAAAGUUGAAGAGCGAAUUGCUAGCGAGAGCUGCUAUAAAUAUAAAUGCGAGAAUGGAUACACCUGCCCACCUCAUUGCCAUGGAUGUAGUGGCACAAUCGUUUUUCUAAAACCACGAGCAUAUUGCUACUGAUUACUACUCACCAAAUCGGUUAUUUUUGAAAAUAAAGA